rnacentral:tRNA from 1 species
GAGGGUAUAGCUUGGUGGUAGAGUGCAUGCCUAGCAUGCACAAGGUCCUGGGUUCAAUUCCCAUUACCUCUG